rnacentral:rRNA from 1 species
GACGAACGCAGGCGGCGUGCUUAACACAUGCAAGUCGAACGGAAAGGCCCUGCUUUUGUGGGGUGCUCGAGUGGCGAACGGGUGAGUAACACGUGAGUAACCUGCCCUUGACUUUGGGAUAACUUCAGGAAACUGGGGCUAAUACCGGAUAGGAGCUCCUGCUGCAUGGUGGGGGUUGGAAAGUUUCGGCGGUUGGGGAUGGACUCGCGGCUUAUCAGCUUGUUGGUGGGGUAGUGGCUUACCAAGGCUUUGACGGGUAGCCGGCCUGGGAGGGUGACCGGCCACAUUGGGACUGAGAUACGGCCCAGACGCCUACGGGAGGCAGCAGUGGGGAAUAUUGCACAAUGGGCGGAAGCCUGAUGCAGCAACGCCGCGUGCGGGAUGACGGCCUUCGGGUUGUAAACCGCUUUCGCCUGUGACGAAGCGUGAGUGACGGUAAUGGGUAAAGAAGCACCGGCUAACUACGUG